rnacentral:rRNA from 5 species
CCUGGUUGAUCUUGCCAGUAGUCAUAUGCUUGUCUCACAGAUUAAGCCAUGCAAGUGAAAGUACAUAUGUAAAUAAUAUAUUGAAACUGCGAACGGCUCAUUAAAACAGUUAUAAUCUACUUGAUGUUUUUAAUAUAAGGAUAACUACGGAAAAUCUGUAGCUAAUACUUGUGAAAAUACCUUUUGAUAUAUACAUAUGUAUGUAUCAUUAAGGUAUGUAUUUGUUAGAUAUAAGAAUAAAAUAAAUAUAAUUGAAUUAUAACAAAGAAGAAACACAUAAAAUAUGUGUAUUAUCAAUCGAGUAUCUGACCUAUCAGCUUUUGAUGUUAGGGUAUUGACCUAACAUGGCUAUGACGGGUAACGGGGAAUUAGAGUUCGAUUCCGGAGAGGGAGCCUGAGAAAUAGCUACCACAUCUAAGGAAGGCAGCAGGCGCGUAAAUUACCCAAUUCUAAAAAAGAGAGGUAGUGACAAGAAAUAACAAUACAAUAUCGAAAAAUGAUUUUGUAAUUGGAAUGAUAGGAAUUUACAAGGUUCCUAGAGAAACAAUUGGAGGGCAAGUCUGGUGCCAGCAGCCGCGGUAAUUCCAGCUCCAAUAGCAUAUAUUAAAAUUGUUGCAGUUAAAACGUUCGUAGUUGAAUAUUAAAGAAUCCGAUGUUUCAUUUAAACUGGUUUGGGAAAACCAAAUAUAUUAUAUAUUUUGCUUUGUUCAAAAUAAGGUUUUCUAAUAAAUUAUGUUUUUAUCAGAUAUGACAGAAUCUUUUUUAAAAUCUCUUCAAUAUGCUUUUAUUGCUUUUGAGAGGUUUUGUUACUUUGAGUAAAAUUAAGUGUUCAUAACAGACGGGUAGUCAUGAUUGAGUUCAUUGUGUUUGAAUACUACAGCAUGGAAUAACAAAUAUGAAUAAGCUAAUUAUUUUUUUUUUUCAUAAUUUUUUUUGAUAUUCUUAUUAGCUUAGUUACGAUUAAUAGGAGUAGCUUUGGGGGCAUUCGUAUUCAGAUGUCAGAGGUGAAAUUCUAAGAUUUUCUGGAGACGGACUACUGCGAAAGCAUUUGCCUAAUCUAUUUCCAUUAAUCAAGAACGAAAGUUAAGGGAGUGAAGACGAUCAGAUACCGUCGUAAUCUUAACCAUAAACUAUACCGACUAGGUGUUGGAUGAAUAUAAAAAAUAUAUAAAUAUGUAGCAUUUCUUAGGGAAUGUUGAUUUUAUAUUAGAAUUGCUUCCUUCAGUACCUUAUGAGAAAUCAAAGUCUUUGGGUUCUGGGGCGAGUAUUCGCGCAAGCGAGAAAGUUAAAAGAAUUGACGGAAGGGCACCACCAGGCGUGGAGCUUGCGGCUUAAUUUGACUCAACACGGGAAAACUCACUAGUUUAAGACAAGAGUAGGAUUGACAGAUUAAUAGCUCUUUCUUGAUUUCUUGGAUGGUGAUGCAUGGCCGUUUUUAGUUCGUGAAUAUGAUUUGUCUGGUUAAUUCCGAUAACGAACGAGAUCUUAACCUGCUAAUUAGCGGUAAGUACACUAUAUUUUUAUUUGAAAUUGAAUAUAGGUAAUUAUACAUGUUUAUUCAGUGUUCAAAUUAGGAUAUUUUUUUAUUAAAAUAUUCUUUUCCCUGUUCUACUAUAAUAAUUUGUUUUUUUUUACUCUAUUUCUCUCUUCUUUUAAGAAUGUACUUGUUUGAUUAAAUAAAGCUUCUUAGAGGAACAGUGUGUAUCUAACACAAGGAAGUUUAAGGCAACAACAGGUCUGUGAUGUCCUUAGAUAAACUAGGCUGCACGCGUGCUACAAUGAUAUAUAUAACAAGUUGUUAAAAAUGUACUUAUAAAUAAGUGUGUACAGUUUUUCCUGUACUGAAAAGUAUAGGUAAUCUUUAUCAGUAUAUAUCGUAAUUGGGAUAGAUUAUUGCAAUUAUUAAUCUUGAACGAGGAAUGCCUAGUAAGCAUGAUUCAUUAGAUUGUGCUGACUACGUCCCUGCCCUUUGUACACACCGCCCGUCGCUCCUACCGAUUGAAAGAUAUGAUAAAUUGUUUGGAUAUGAAUUAAAAUAAUGAAAUUUUAUAUUUCUGAUUUUUUCUAGAAGAACUGUAAAUCCUAUCUUUUAAAGGAAGGAGAAGUCGUAACAAGGUUUCCGUAGGUGAACCUGCGGAAG